GGUCGAGCGGAAACGAUGGGAGCUUGCUCCCAGGCGUCGAGCGGCGGACGGGUGAGUAACACUUAGGAAUCUACCUAGUAGUGGGGGAUAGCUCGGGGAAACUCGAAUUAAUACCGCAUACGACCUACGGGAGAAAGGGGGCAGUUUACUGCUCUCGCUAUUAGAUGAGCCUAAGUCGGAUUAGCUAGAUGGUGGGGUAAAGGCCUACCAUGGCGACGAUCUGUAGCUGGUCUGAGAGGAUGAUCAGCCACACCGGGACUGAGACACGGCCCGGACUCCUACGGGAGGCAGCAGUGGGGAAUAUUGGACAAUGGGGGAAACCCUGAUCCAGCCAUGCCGCGUGUGUGAAGAAGGCCUUUUGGUUGUAAAGCACUUUAAGCAGUGAAGAAGACCAUAUGGUUAAUACCCAUAUGCGAUGACAUUAGCUGCAGAAUAAGCACCGGCUAACUCUGUGCCAGCAGCCGCGGUAAUACAGAGGGUGCAAGCGUUAAUCGGAAUUACUGGGCGUAAAGCGAGCGUAGGUGGCUUGAUAAGUCAGAUGUGAAAUCCCCGGGCUUAACCUGGGAACUGCAUCUGAUACUGUUAAGCUAGAGUAGGUGAGAGGGAAGUAGAAUUCCAGGUGUAGCGGUGAAAUGCGUAGAGAUCUGGAGGAAUACCGAUGGCGAAGGCAGCUUCCUGGCAUCAUACUGACACUGAGGCUCGAAAGCGU
rnacentral:rRNA from 1 species